AGAGUUUGAUCCUGGCUCAGGAUGAACGCUAGCUACAGGCUUAACACAUGCAAGUCGAGGGGCAGCAUGAAAGGAACUUCGGUUCUUUUUGAUGGCGACCGGCGCACGGGUGCGUAACGCGUAUCGAACCUGCCUCAUACUCGGGGAUAGCCUUGCGAAAGUAAGAUUAAUACCCGGCGGUCUCGGACGGCCGCAUGACUGUCCGAGUGAAGAUUUAUCGGUAUGAGAUGGCGAUGCGUCCCAUUAGCUUGUUGGUGAGGUAAUGGCUCACCAAGGCAUCGAUGGGUAGGGGUUCUGAGAGGAAGGUCCCCCACAUUGGAACUGAGACACGGUCCAAACUCCUACGGGAGGCAGCAGUGAGGAAUAUUGGUCAAUGGACGAAAGUCUGAACCAGCCAAGUAGCGUGCAGGAUGACGGCCCUCUGGGUUGUAAACUGCUUUUAGUUGGGAAUAAAAAGAGGGACGUGUCCCUUAUUGUAUGUACCAUCAGAAAAAGGACCGGCUAAUUCCGUGCCAGCAGCCGCGGUAAUACGGAAGGUCCAGGCGUUAUCCGGAUUUAUUGGGUUUAAAGGGAGCGCAGGCGGCGGCGUAAGUCAGUUGUGAAAUCGUGCGGCUUAACCGUGCAAUUGCAGUUGAUACUGCGUCGCUUGAGUGCACACAGGGAUGUUGGAAUUCAUGGUGUAGCGGUGAAAUGCUUAGAUAUCAUGAAGAACUCCGAUCGCGAAGGCAUAUGUCCGGAGUGCAACUGACGCUGAGGCUCGAAAGUGUGGGUAUCAAACAGGAUUAGAUACCCUGGUAGUCCACACAGUAAACGAUGAAUACUCGCGGUUGGCUCGUUAGAAUCAGCCGCCAAGCGAAAGCGUUAAGUAUUCCACCUGGGGAGUACGCCGGCAACGGUGAAACUCAAAGGAAUUGACGGGGGCCCGCACAAGCGGAGGAACAUGUGGUUUAA
rnacentral:rRNA from 1 species